AGUCAAUGAACUUGUAUAAGUAUAUAUUUUGAAAGUAUAAAAAAAGAUGAUAAGUCUUAUUGACUU
rnacentral:tRNA from 1 species